UCUUCCCGACCCAGGGAUUGAACCCAGGUCUCCCACAUUGUAGGCAGACGCUUUACCACCUGAUCCACCAGGGAAGUCUAUUCAAGUUAUUUAAGUAAUUGCUUAUAGUGUACACAGCUAGUCACUCCUCCCCAUUAAUCCAUAGUGUGUGUUUUGUUCACAGCAACGCCUUGGGCAUCUGAUUGCAUAAAACAGGUAGUCAAACUUUUGGCAGGUGAUGAGUUAAUAAAGAUAAGAUGCCAGCUAGAUCCUAACCACACAGUCACCAAAGAACAGGGCCCGCCUACUCAGAGUUCUUUAGCCCCUACACACCUGACACCCUGGCCAGCUGUCCCAUACUGUCUCACUCUGACUGGUCCUCAAGGUCACAAGAGUUGAUGUCACAAUCGGUGUCUGAGCUAUCUGCCCCGCAGAUAGCCAUGGCGAGCCACUUCAGGUCAAACUAGACCACGAAGCUCUCCAGCCAGGAGCUACCAUGCUGGACCAUCCACCAUCUGGUCUUGCAUGAAGACAGCCCAGUUUCCAGGGCUCGGAAUAGAACACCACACCUUUCAGAACCACCUGUUUCGCUCUGCACACACUACCAGCUAAGAAGCCCUGCAAUGAUUGUUGUCUUAUGGAUGCUUCUCAUUGCAGGAACAAUGUGGAAGGGAUACAAAUAUCCCCCAGGAGGGACCCCAGUGGAAAUAAGCAAAGAUGAUCCUGGUGAAGUGAUGCAGCUCUGAAGCUUUCCCACCCAGCUGUACAGUUCCUGAUGGUGUCCCAUAUAAAGUAAUUGCACAUUAUUUUGUCACAUUUUAUGUAACAAGUUACCACACUUUUAAAGAUGAAUGAAGACUUGGUAUUCUGUUAGCUCAAAACAGGGAGAUGGAGGGUGAGGAGGUAGUUGGGGGAAUGGGAGGGAUUGGGUCCCCUGUUUAAUAAUCCAUAAGACUGGCAUUAAGACUGAGAUCCUUAUUCAGUACCCUUGAGGAAAUUCUGUAGAGCUCUUUAGACCUGUUUCCCACAUAGUACCUUUCUCCUGGGUCCAAGGACCAGGGUCCAGGCAGAGGUGAAAAAAAGUUAAGAGACUGCAGCAACUUUCAGCAGGUACUCUGGGUGGGGCUAUUUGUCUGUAGCCUUUGCACAGCUAUUAAGAACCCAGAGUUUACAUCAUAUGGGGAAAGGGGAUUUUAACAUUGGGUGCUAGAUACUAGUUGGUAUUUUAAUCCUUAUAGUAACCUUCUUAGCCACUUUUUACAAAGUGGCAAAAAUGAAGUUGGGAGGCUUAAGUACUUUACCAACCCACACAGUUCUGUGUAGCAGAGAUUAAGAUCCAGGCCCUCUCCUUGACAUGCUCUUACAUGCCAAGGAAAAGAGCUGAGCAAGAGAGACCGGGUAUGCUAAGAUCUUGACCAUCUUGAUUCAAAUGUCUUCCUCACCUGAAUAGCCCAGCGGUUGCCUUUUCUUUUAGCAGUGACCGCUACUGAGCCCGGCAGCAUGGGUAGAAACAAAAGCUAACUGCCCAGCCCUCGACAGGAUGCAGUUUUGAGUUCAUGAGACCCAGAAAAGGUUCCCAUUCUUGUAUAUAAAACGCAUGCUAUUAAUCUGGGUGUCUGAGCCCUAGGAUAUUCCUAAUGAGCUCUCUAAAAGUUUGAGCUUUCUGACCCUAAAAGAGAAAGAAAAUCUAAAAGGAGCAAAUACUUUUGAGUUAUAUGGAACUGCUCCCAUUCUAUGGUUGCUUGGGUAUGACUGACAGUUUCGUUGUUCAAAAGUGCACCGUUUCCAACAAAGUACCUUUUGGUUAUACAGACAGCAUUUUGUUAAUGACUCUAGUAUAUGCUUGCUAAAGUAUUUUUAAGUGCCUCUAUGCACUGCAUGGCUUACCCUUUUUAAUAGAACAAGUGAAUUCAAAAUUUAUAUGCAGAAAUAGGAUACUAGUAUAGUUUAUACUUGUAUGACCUAGAGUCCAUACAUUAUACCGAGUACAUACAUUCUCUGGCUGCAGGGCUGCACCCACUUGCCUGAUAUGUUCCGAAUGAUCAUCCUCCCAGCUACCUCAGGCUCUUUUUAUUAUAGGGGGUCGGAACUGCUCAAUUUCUUGAAAAGAGGUGCUAUAUACCCGGUUCUUCUUCCCUUGUUCCCUGACUCUAUCUCCAAACUGUUCUCCGAACUUGUAUGUCUGAUACCAGAAUAGUUCACUAAGCUGGUGGGGUGAGAGGGAAGAGGUGUCAGUGGCAGGGGCUGAGUGGACAAGAAUGUGUAAGGGGGAAGGAACAUAGGUGUGGGUGUGGGUGUGUGUGUGUUAGGAAGUAAACCCAUCUCUAAGUCUGAUGAGUCUGCUGGGGUUUCUAGCUGGAAUAAUAUUUGGGGUGAUGAAAUAAGGAAUAUGAGUUCUGUUAAAUAAAUGCAAACCAGUGAAAAUAUCAAUAAAAUAUUUUUAAUGCCUACAAUUUCUUUUAUACAUAAUUGCAAAACUUUUAUCUGUAAAUGCAAAAGUAGAUUCUCUUGCAGGUCAACAGCACCAGAAAACAAGCUAUGCUGGGUAAACGUUUCUUUAAACUUGAUUUGUCCAUUAUGUAAAAGACAUGGAUUUAAUAACUUCAAAGAAAUCUAUAUCCCACUCUUAAUCAUACACUAACACCUGAAUAUUUAUGUCAUCACAUCCACUCACAAAAUAAAUAGUAGUCUAAUAUAUUCAGCACAUUGAAAAUAAAACAA